rnacentral:rRNA from 1 species
UACGUAGGUGGCAAGCGUUGUCCGGAUUUACUGGGCGUAAAGAGCGCGCAGGCGGUCGUGCAAGUCGCGUGUGAAAGCCCCCGGCUCAACUGGGGAGGGUCACGCGAUACUGCUCGACUCGAAGGCAGGAGAGGGAAGUGGAAUUCCCGGUGUAGUGGUGAAAUGCGUAGAGAUGUGGAGGAACACCAGUGGCGAAGGCGACUCUUUGGCCUGUAACUGACGCUGAGGUGCGAAAGCGUGGGGAGCAAACAGG